UUACGGCCAUAUCAUUUUGAAACGCUGGUUCCCGUACGAUUACUGAAGUUAAGCAACAUCGAGCCUGGUCAGUAUUUAGAUGAGUGACCACUUGGGAAUAUCAGGCGCUGUA